UAUUUAGGUAGUGCCUCGAGUAUGAGACUGAUGGGGGUAAAGCACUGUUAUGGCUAGGGGGUUAUUGCAACUUACCAACCCAUGGCAAACUAAGAAUACCAUCAAGUUGCUCCUCGGGAGACAGACAUCGGGUGCUAACGUCCGGUGUCAAGAGGGAAACAACCCAGACCGCCAGCUAAGGUCCCAAAUGAUAGAUUAAGUGGUAAACGAAGUGGGAAGGCACAGACAGCCAGGAUGUUGGCUUAGAAGCAGCCAUCAUUUAAAGAAAGCGUAAUAGCUCACUGGUCGAGUUUUCCUGCGCGGAAGAUGUAACGGGGCUCAAAUCUAUAACCGAAGCUGCGGAUAUACUUUUGUAUAUGGUAGGGGAGCGUUCUGUAAGCCUGUGAAGGUGACUUGUAAAGGUUGCUGGAGGUAUCAGAAGUGCGAAUGUUGACAUGAGUAGCGAUAAAGCGGGUGAAAAGCCCGCUCGCCGAAAGCCCAAGGUUUCCUACGCAACGUUCAUCGGCGUAGGGUGAGUCGGUCCCUAAGGCGAGGCAGAAAUGCGUAGUCGAUGGGAAACAGGUUAAUAUUCCUGUACUUUGAUUCAAUGCGAUGUGGGGACGGAGAAGGUUAGGUUAGCAAACUGUUGGAAUAGUUUGUUUAAGCCAGUAGGUGGAAAGAGUAGGCAAAUCCGCUCUUUCUUAACACCGAGACGUGAUGACGAGUGUCUACGGACAUGAAGUGACCAAUACCACGCUUCCAGGAAAAGCCACUAAGCUUCAGUUGAAUCAGAACCGUACCGCAAACCGACACAGGUGGGCAGGAUGAGAAUUCUAAGGCGCUUGAGAGAACUCGGGAGAAGGAACUCGGCAAAUUGAUACCGUAACUUCGGGAGAAGGUAUGCCCUCUAAUGUUAAGGACUUGCUCCGUAAGCAUCUGAGGGUCGCAGAGAAUCGGUGGCUGCGACUGUUUAUUAAAAACACAGCACUCUGCUAACACGAAAGUGGACGUAUAGGGUGUGACGCCUGCCCGGUGCUGGAAGGUUAAUUGAAGAUGUGCAAGCAUCGGAUCGAAGCCCCAGUAAACGGCGGCCGUAACUAUAACGGUCCUAAGGUAGCGAAAUUCCUUGUCGGGUAAGUUCCGACCCGCACGAAUGGCGUAACGAUGGCCACACUGUCUCCUCCCGAGACUCAGCGAAGUUGAAAUGGUUGUGAAGAUGCAAUCUCCCCGCUGCUAGACGGAAAGACCCCGUGAACCUUUACUGUAGCUUUGCAUUGGACUUUGAAGUCACUUGUGUAGGAUAGGUGGGAGGCUUUGAAGCAGAGACGCCAGUCUCUGUGGAGCCGUCCUUGAAAUACCACCCUGGUGACUUUGAGGUUCUAACCCAGACCCGUUAUCCGGGUCGGGGACCGUGCAUGGUAGGCAGUUUGACUGGGGCGGUCUCCUCCCAAAGAGUAACGGAGGAGUUCGAAGGUUACCUAGGUCCGGUCGGAAAUCGGACUGAUAGUGCAAUGGCAAAAGGUAGCUUAACUGCGAGACCGACAAGUCGAGCAGGUGCGAAAGCAGGACAUAGUGAUCCGGUGGUUCUGAAUGGAAGGGCCAUCGCUCAACGGAUAAAAGGUACUCCGGGGAUAACAGGCUGAUUCCGCCCAAGAGUCCAUAUCGACGGCGGAGUUUGGCACCUCGAUGUCGGCUCAUCACAUCCUGGGGCUGUAGUCGGUCCCAAGGGUAUGGCUGUUCGCCAUUUAAAGUGGUACGUGAGCUGGGUUUAAAACGUCGUGAGACAGUUUGGUCCCUAUCUGCAGUGGGCGUUGGAAGUUUGAAGGGGGCUGCUCCUAGUACGAGAGGACCGGAGUGGACGAACCUCUGGUGUACCGGUUGUUUCGCCAGAAGCAUAGCCGGGUAGCUAAGUUCGGAAGAGAUAAGCGCUGAAAGCAUCUAAGCGCGAAACUCGCCCAAAGAUGAGACUUCCCUUGUGGUUUAACCAUACUAAAGAGUCGUUCGAGACCAGGACGUUGAUAGGUUGGGUGUGGAAGGGUGG
rnacentral:rRNA from 1 species